AGAAGCGAGUGAGGAUGACAUGCUGGAAAGUAUGGCCAUAGCGGGUGAAAGCCCCAUGUCCGAAGCGAGCGGAAGCGUAGUGGUAUCCUGAGUAGCGCGGGACACGUGAAAUCCUGUGUGAAUCCGGCGGGCCCAUCCGCCAAGGCUAAAUACUCGUAAGAGACCGAUAGUGAACCAGUACCGUGAGGGAAAGGUGAAAAGCACCUCGAGCAGAGGAGUGAAAGAGUUCCUGAAACCGUACGCCUACAAGCGGUCGGAGCAUGUUUGCAUGUGACGGCGUGCCUUUUGCAUAAUGAACCUACGAGUUACCGUUGUUGGCAAGGUUAAGUGUCACGAGACACGUAUCCGAAGCGAAAGCGAGUCUGAACAGGGCGUUGAGUCAUCAGCGGUAGACGCGAAACCAAGUGAUCUACCCUUGUCCAGGUUGAAGUCCGGGUAACACCGGAUGGAGGACCGCACCAAUAAGCGUUGAAAAGCUUCUGGAUGAGGUGAGGGUAGGAGUGAAAGGCCAAUCAAACUUGGAGAUAGCUCGUACUCCCCGAAAUGCAUUUAGGUGCAGCCUUUUCCGUUCCCUGAUGGAGGUAGAGCGACUGAUUGGAUGCGAGGGUUUCACCGCCUAUCAAGUCCAGACAAACUCCGAAUGCCAUCAGGCCAGAGGAAAGGAGUGAGGGCAUGGGUGCUAAGGUCCGUGCCCGAGAGGAGAAGAAUCCGGACCGCCGGCUAAGGUCCCGAAAUACAGGUUAAGUUAGACUAACGCAGUAGGAUUCCUGUGACAGCUAGGAUGUUGGCUUGGAAGCAGCCAUUCAUUCAAAGAGUGCGUAACAGCUCACUAGUCGAGGGAUCCCGCAUGGAUAAUAAUCGGGUAUGAAACCUGUUACCGAAGCCGCGGGAUACGAUAAGGUAUCGGUAGGGGAGCAUUCCAGAUGCGUAGAAGGUGUCAGGACGACUGAUGCUGGAGCGUGUGGAAAAGCAAAUGUAGGUAUAAGUAACGAUAAAGGGGGUGAGAUGCCCCCUCGCCGAAAGGCCAAGGUUUCCUGGGCAACGUUAAUCGUCCCAGGGUCAGUCGGGUCCUAAGCAUAAUCCGAUGUGGAGAGUGCGAUGGCAGAAACGGUAAAGAUUCCGUUACUAUCCAAGGAUGCGAUGCGGAGACGGAGAAGUGACACUUCCGCGCCCUGACGGAAUAGGGCGUUGAAAUGCAAAGACGCAGAUGCGGGCAGGCAAAUCCACCCGCAGAGUUGAAGCAUGAGAGUAGAGGCAGCCUUCGGGUGAGCCUGAAAGUGAAGGUAAUCAGACUCCCGAGAAAAUCCGCUAAGCUCCAGUUCUUGGAUACCCGUACCGUAAACGGACACACGUGGCCGGGUAGAAUAUACUAAGGCGCUUGGGAGAUUCAUGGUUAAGGAACUAGGCAAAUUGACCCUGUAACUUCGGGAAAAAGGGUCCUCACGUGAGUGAGGCGCAGAGAAUAGGUCCAGGCAACUGUUUAACAAAAACACAGGACUGUGCAAAAUCGAAAGAUGCGGUAUACAGUCUGACACCUGCCCGGUGCCGGAAGGUUAAGAGGAGAUGUCAUCUUCGGAGAAGCAUUGAAUUGAAGCCCCGGUAAACGGCGGCCGUAACUAUAACGGUCCUAAGGUAGCGAAAUUCCUUGUCGGGU
rnacentral:rRNA from 1 species